GAGUCAGCAUACCCAGUCUGAUUUAUCCACUAUCCCGUGAUGAAGAUCUUGGCUGUCACUUUUAUGGAUAAGGAGCAAAGUGACUCAUCCUGAUUUUUACCUCAGAAUGAAGACACCACGGUUGAUUUUUAAUCCUAUCUAGUGGUGAAGACUGUGGCUCUGCGGGGAAGAAGCAUUAAAUUCGGAGUCUGCAUUUUCACUAAGCGAACAUACCACCGAUGAAGUAAUCAUUCUCUAAUGCUAAAGAUCUUGGCUUUAUCAAGCUGUGGGGGGUAAGGACAGAAGAAAUUGAUAAUGAACACACAGCUGAUUUAAUCGUUCUAUGAUCGUGAAGACAUGGUUGUGAAUCCUGGGACUGAGAAACAUAAAGACCGAGGUAAGUAAAUAUCAGUGUUUGCGUUUAAGGCUUAGAUGGGGUUUAUUUAUGGGAGCCCAGUAAAUUAUUUCAAUAAAAUAAAGAGUUAAACAGUGUAGGAAAUUCAGGCAUGCCAGUCAUGAGCCCCAAGUCUAGAAUGUGUCACAAACUAAAACUUAUGAUUACUUUGAUUCAUCCCAACUAAGAGCCGUUGCUGAAGUGAUGGGGGGCAUCUCACAUAUUCUCAAAGCCGUCUGCCUUCUCAACUCAUGCUCUUGUCCCAUUUGCCUAAAACAUACCUUCACUGGGGAAGAUCUUAGCUGUUAACUCUCUGAGGCUGGAGCACCCCGAAAGAUGGCAGAUGUCAGUUUUGUCAGUUGUGGGUUAAGAUGACAGGUCUGUGGGUGUUGAUGACACUAGCUUUACUGUAUGGGCAAGUCAAGGCAGAAAGGAGAAGGUGGUCACCAGUCCCUAAGUAAGGGACUGAUAUGAAGGGAGCGUCCUGAUUAAUCCCUGUGUGCGAACAGAGGUUCACUAUGAAAAGUGAGUGACCGUUCGCUUUCCAUGAAUGGGGGCGGUGAGCGGAUCUCGGUUGUAUGUAAGGCUUUUUGUUCUCAGUUUUGUGUCAUUAAAGGGUAUUGAGUGUGUAAUUCGGAUUCAUGAAUCUAUGAAUGAAUCCUUGCAAGAAGGCAUAAAUGAACGAAGAACUCGAAAGCUGUGCCCAGAUCAAUGAUGAGUAUCGGUGGAGUUACCUGAAUCAACACCUUUGAUGAAGUCCUCUGUGUAGCUUUGAGGUCCGUUACAGGAAACGAACCAGUCAAUCUUCUCUGUAGAAAUUAGCUAAUAGUGGAAGUUAGGAAAAUUCAAUAAGCUUGCCCCAGGCUUUUGUGGUUCAUGGAUACGGAUUAUGUUAUUUCAAGUGAAUCAAUGCAUGAGUAAAGAAAGAAAUGAAUACAUGAGACGCUAAAAGCCUCCUCAUAGAACAAUUAGCAGAGUGCAGCAAACGCUGUUAAUAUCGAUACAAUUCUGAAGGAAAACGGCAAGGCUCACUCUGUAAUCCUCUUUUAUAUGGAACAUACUAGUAUCUGCAGUGAAGACCCAGUGUCUUGAGUGUCUGUAGUUUGCUGGGGAGUUUUUAAGCUAAGAGAAGGGGAAGUGUUUGCAUCAGUCAGUAAUCUAUGAGAUAACCGUCUCUUUAAUAGGCGUUGAUACAGGUGGAGAUUUGUAAUCGUUAUAGUCUUAAUCUUGGGCUAGGUGUUGGACUUGAUCGUGUUUAUUGUAUUAUUUAUAAGUAAGAAUUCCAUACGGGUUUAAUAAAGAAUAGGAUGCUGGGGCCAAAGUUUAUUGCUAUCUAGCUCUGCCUGAUGAACAGCCAUUAAACACUUUUUUUGAAUGUAGCCUUAGUCUGCUUUUUCUUACCCAGAGUGAACAAUGGCAUAGCUGACUCAGUCAUUUAGUAAGGAGUUAUUGUAGUGAACCAGGAGCAUGAAGAAUAAUUUAAGUAAGUCCCUUAGUUUACAUUCUUUGUUUGGAUGGGUUGUUUCCAGAUGUCACCUGAAGAGUUUCGAAGCAAAUAAUUGUGCACCACACACACACGAAUAAAUAAAACACUCCCAAGUAUGGAUCAAUGAUGGGAAUGUAUUAUAGACCCAAAAUUAUGUGUAAUCUAAAUCAGCACCGCAGAGGUAAUUUUAGAAGAAAAUAUAAUGUUAUUUAAUUUGUUUUCAGAGCAGUUUCAUAUUAUUUCUUUCUUUACGUUUAUUAGCUCUGCAGGAGAAAAGCCUAAAAUUCAAGGAUCUUGUUUUUGGGAUUUUGUGAUUGUGUUAUUAUU